AGAGUUUGAUCCUGGCUCAGGAUGAACGCUGGCGGCAUGCCUAAUACAUGCAAGUCGAACGAAGUCUCCAGGAAGCUUGCUUCCAAAGAGACUUAGUGGCGAACGGGUGAGUAACACGUAGGUAACCUGCCCAUGUGUCCGGGAUAACUGCUGGAAACGGUAGCUAAAACCGGAUAGGUAUACAGAGCGCAUGCUCAGUAUAUUAAAGCGCCCAUCAAGGCGUGAACAUGGAUGGACCUGCGGCGCAUUAGCUAGUUGGUGAGGUAACGGCCCACCAAGGCGAUGAUGCGUAGCCGGCCUGAGAGGGUAAACGGCCACAUUGGGACUGAGACACGGCCCAAACUCCUACGGGAGGCAGCAGUAGGGAAUUUUCGUCAAUGGGGGAAACCCUGAACGAGCAAUGCCGCGUGAGUGAAGAAGGUCUUCGGAUCGUAAAGCUCUGUUGUAAGUGAAGAACGGCUCAUAGAGGAAAUGCUAUGGGAGUGACGGUAGCUUACCAGAAAGCCACGGCUAACUACGUGCCAGCAGCCGCGGUAAUACGUAGGUGGCAAGCGUUAUCCGGAAUCAUUGGGCGUAAAGGGUGCGUAGGUGGCGUACUAAGUCUGUAGUAAAAGGCAAUGGCUCAACCAUUGUAAGCUAUGGAAACUGGUAUGCUGGAGUGCAGAAGAGGGCGAUGGAAUUCCAUGUGUAGCGGUAAAAUGCGUAGAUAUAUGGAGGAACACCAGUGGCGAAGGCGGUCGCCUGGUCUGUAACUGACACUGAGGCACGAAAGCGUGGGGAGCAAAUAGGAUUAGAUACCCUAGUAGUCCACGCCGUAAACGAUGAGAACUAAGUGUUGGAGGAAUUCAGUGCUGCAGUUAACGCAAUAAGUUCUCCGCCUGGGGAGUAUGCACGCAAGUGUGAAACUCAAAGGAAUUGACGGGGGCCCGCACAAGCGGUGGAGUAUGUGGUUUAAUUCGAAGCAACGCGAAGAACCUUACCAGGCCUUGACAUGGAAACAAAUACCCUAGAGAUAGGGGGAUAAUUAUGGAUCAC
rnacentral:rRNA from 1 species